rnacentral:rRNA from 1 species
UCAGGCGGGGCGCUUAAUGCGUUAGCUACGUCACGGAAACCGUGGAAUGGUCCCCACAACUAGCGCCCAACGUUUACGGCGUGGACUACCAGGGUAUCUAAUCCUGUUUGCUCCCCACGCUUUCGCUCCUCAGCGUCAGUAACGGCCCAGAGAACUGCCUUCGCCAUUGGUGUUCCUCCUGAUAUCUGCGCAUUCCACCGCUACACCAGGAAUUCCAUUCUCCCCUACCGCACUCUAGUCUGCCCGUACCCACUGCAGGCCCGAGGUUGAGCCUCGGGUUUUCACAGCAGACGCGACAAACCGCCUACGAGCUCUUUACGCCCAAUAAUUCCGGACAACGCUUGCACCCUACGUAUUACCGCGGCUGCUGGCACGUAGUUAGCCGGUGCUUUUUCUGUAGGUACCGUCACUUUCGCUUCUUCCCUACUAAAAGAGGUUUACAACCCGAAGGCCGUCAUCCCUCACGCGGCGUUGCUGCAUCAGGCUUUCGCCCAUUGUGCAAUAUUCCCCACUGCUGCCUCCCGUA